GACGAACGUCGGCGGCGUGCCUAAUACAUGCAAGUAGAACGCAGUCGCGAACGGGUGAGUAACGCGUAGGUAACUGACUGGUAGCGGGGGAUAACUAUUGGACACGAUAGCCAAUACCGCAUACUACCAGAUGGACCUGCGUUGUAUUAGCUAGUUGGUGGGGUAACGGCUCACCAAGGCAGCGAUACAUAGCCGACCAUGGAGGAGGAUCGGCCACGCUGGGACAGAGGAACUGGCCAGACGCCUACGAGAGGCAGCAGUAGAAAGUCAUCGGCAAUGGGAGUAACCCUAACCGAGCAACGCCGCGUGAGUGAGGAAGGUUUUCGGAUCGUGAAGCUCUGUUGUGAAAGAAGCGGUACUUAACCAAAAGGGGACGGCUAACUACGUGCCAGCAGCCGCGGUAAUUC
rnacentral:rRNA from 1 species